AAGUUGCAAGAACUUUGAAGAGAGAGUUCAAGAGUACGUGAAACUGCUCAGAGGCAAACGGGUGGGCCCUCGAAAUCCUUCCGCGGAGGGAUUCAGUCGGAAGUGGUAAAGUCCGGGCCCGUUAACGACGGACCUAUAAAAAGCCGGACGGGACCGGGCCUCUACUGCGUCCGACGCACUUCCUUCCGCGCCACGGACGCCGCAACCGGUCGGGUAGCAGCGAGAGUCGGCCAUGAGGGUCCCCGCCGGCAGGUGGCCGGGGAACCUGCUGCUGUAGGUUUCCCCGGUCGUUAGCCAGGAGACACCGCGGCGCGACACCCGACCGAGGCCGAGGUUCCAGUUACUGGAACUAGCCGUGCCCUGUUCACGCAGCGGGGCCCACGUCACGCGCGUCGCCGCGCUGCAGCGUCACUCCGAGAGUGGUCUGCGUUCGGCGGACGCGGUUGGACUGGGAGUGCUCGCGGACAGGCGCCCACGGUCGGCGGCGAGCAGGUCGGUCACCCACCUGACCCGUCUUGAAACACGGACCAAGGAGUCUAACAUGUGCGCGAGUCACAGGGUCUUGCUCAGGCCCAGGGGCGCAAUGAAAGUGAAAUACUUGUCGGGACUCCGAGUCGGAUGCACCGACGGCCCGUCCGAACCGCCACGCGCGAUCGGGCGGAGUCGGAGCGCACACGUUGGGACCCGAUAGAUGGUGAGCUAUGCCCGGGCAGAACGAAGCCAGAGGAAACUCUGGUGGAGGUUCGCAGCGGUUCUGACGUGCAAUCGAUCGUCAGAC
rnacentral:rRNA from 1 species